UAUGGAAGGCAGCAGUGGGGAAUAUUGCACAAUGGGCGCAAGCCUGAUGCAGCCAUGCCGCGUGUAUGAAGAAGGCCUUCGGGUUGUAAAGUACUUUCAGCGGGGAGGAAGGCGAUGUGGUUAAUAACCGCGUCGAUUGACGUUACCCGCAGAAGAAGCACCGGCUAACUCCGUGCCAGCAGCCGCGGUAAUACGGAGGGUGCAAGCGUUAAUCGGAAUUACUGGGCGUAAAGCGCACGCAGGCGGUCUGUUAAGUCAGAUGUGAAAUCCCCGGGCUUAACCUGGGAACUGCAUUUGAAACUGGCAGGCUUGAGUCUCGUAGAGGGGGUAGAAUUCCAGGUGUAGCGGUGAAAUGCGUAGAGAUCUGGAGGAAUACCGGUGGCGAAGGCGGGCCCCUGGACGAGACUGACGCUCAGGUGCGAAAGCGUGGGGAGCAAACAGGAUUAGGAUAACC
rnacentral:rRNA from 1 species